rnacentral:rRNA from 1 species
AGGAUCAUUCGCAAUGGGGGAAACCCUGACGAUGCGACGCUGCGUGGAGGAUGAAGGCCUUCGGGUUGUAAACUCCUGUCAUGAGGGAAAAGGCGAGAGUACCCAAUACGUACUUUAGUUGAUGGUACCUCAAGAGGAAGCGACGGCUAACUCUGUGCCAGCAGCCGCGGUAAUACAGAGGUCGCGAGCGUUGUUCGGAUUUACUGGGCGUAAAGGGCGCGUAGGCGGUAGUGCGUGUCGCGUGUGAAAUCUCCGGGCUCAACCCGGAAAGUGCGCGCGAAACUGCAAUACUCGAGUACGGGAAGGGGAAUCGGAAUCGAGGGUGUAGCGGUGAAAUGCGUUGAUAUCCUCGAGAACACCGGAAGCGAAGGCGGAUUCCUGGAACGAGACUGACGCUGAGGCGCGAAAGCCGGGGGAGCAAACA